AACGUAGGAGGCGAGCGUUAUCCGGAGUUACUGGGCGUAAAGCGCGUGUAGGUGGCUUGUUACGUCUGCUGUGAAAGCUCCCGGCUUAACCGGGACUAGGCGGUAGAUACGGGCAAGCUCGAGGGUGGCAGAGGGGGGUAGAAUUCCACGUGUAGCAGUGAAAUGCGUAGAGAUGUGGAGGAACACCGAUGGCGAAGGCAGCCCCCUGGGUCAAGAUUGACGCUCAUGCACGAAAGCGUGGGGAGCAAACAGG
rnacentral:rRNA from 1 species